rfam:Chlorocebus sabaeus isolate 1994-021 chromosome 4, whole genome shotgun sequence.
GGUCUGGUAGAUCCUACAGGAGUAGCACAUGCCAGUCUCAAAGGUUAAUCCACAGUGGUGGUGUGAAUGGCUGGAUGUGGGUUCAGCUUCUACAUAGAUAACUGGUUAUUGUAGAACUGAUCUACAUCUGCGGCUGCUGUGACUCUGGUGAUUCUAGGUAACCUAGAUCAAUCACAUUUUCCCCCCACCCCUGCCAUGGCCCUGUCACUCUUAGGUAGCCGUUAUAGUGCCUGCUGAGACGACCACUGUGACCAAGAAUCUUAGUAAUAGGGAAUCUCAAUUUGGUUCUGCAGAGAGAGCCUGAUAAAUUAAUAUUCUAUCUAAGGAACGCAGCAGGCGCACAAAUUACCCACUCCCAACCCUGGAAGAUAAUGAUUAAAACAACAUGGAACUCUUUCAAGGCCCUGUAGUUGGAAAGAGUCCACUUUAAAUCCUUUAAAGAGAAUCUAUUGCAGGGCAAGCCUGGUGCUGGCAGCCACGGUAAUCGCACUUUCAGUGUGGUGUGCUGAAUUUGUGGCCAUUAAAAUGCUUGUUCUUGGAUCUUAGGUGCUGCCGGGGUCCAUUGCAAGAAAGUCCAUGCCUCUUGCCUUUUGGUACCUUAUGGGCUCUUCCCUGAGUUUCCCUGGAGCUGAAGUGUGCACUUGAAGAAAAUUAGUGUUCAAAGUAGUGUGGGCUGCCUGGAUACUGCUGGUGGGAAUCAUGGAAUGGGAGUGUGGUUCUAUUUUGUUUGUGUCAAACUUUGAGGAAGCUGAUUAAGCAGGGCAGUUGGGGCAUUAGUAUUGCACCGCUAGGACUCAAAUUCUGGGCCGGUAGUAAGACUGAUCAGAGUGAAAGCUUUUGCCAAGGAUGUUUUCAUUAACCAAGGAUGAAGGUGAAAGUAGGAAGUUUAAAGAAGUUCAGGUCCUGUGUAGUUACGAACAUAAAUGUGAUGUUGACCACUGCAUUAAUGCCCAUGACCCACUAGCAGCUUCCAGGAAACCAGAGCCCUUUGGGUUGUGGUAGGGGGAAGGUCUGUGUUCAAAGCUGAAUCUGAAAGGCAGCAGCAGUAGAGAUGGCAUAAUUCUACUCAACAUGAGCAACCUUACCUGCUUCCAGCACAGACAGGAUUGUCCCAUUGAUAGUUGUUCUGUGGAUGGGGGUGCGUGGCUUUUCUACUCGAUGAAGAGAUUUGACUGGUAGUUAAUCGAUAACCAGGAAGACUAGCAUACUAACCAGUUAGGCGAGCAUUCAGCAUCCCCCAGUUCAGACAAAUGACAUUCAGCCAUCUGAGAUUGAGCAGUUAGACUCUGGAUCGCCCAACUGGUUAGCACACUAGUCUCCUUGGUUAUCUAGUCACCAGACGGAUCUCUCCACCAGCCUAGAAAAGGCAUGCACCCCCACCCACAGAAGAGUAGCCACAGGUCUGUGAUGCUCUUAAAUUCCUGGAACCAUGCACCACACUGCUCUCAGCAUGUGCUCAUUUGAAUCCGAUGGGUGCCAGAGACCCAUUAAGUCCAUUAGUGAUGCGGAUCGGGAUUGUAGUAAUUCCUUGUUAAGGAAGAAUUCCCCGUGAGAGAGCAGGCCGAAAGUAUGCAUUAAGUUUCUGCUGAUUCUCCCUCAAUA